rnacentral:rRNA from 1 species
UACGUAGGGUGCGAGCGUUAAUCGGAAUUACUGGGCGUAAAGCGUGCGCAGGCGGUGCUGUAAGACCGAUGUGAAAUCCCCGGGCUUAACCUGGGAACUGCAUUGGUGACUGCAGCGCUGGAGUAUGGCAGAGGGGGGUGGAAUUCCACGUGUAGCAGUGAAAUGCGUAGAGAUGUGGAGGAACACUGAUGGCGAAGGCAAUCCCCUGGGCCUGCACUGACGCUCAUGCACGAAAGCGUGGGGGAGCAAACAGG